rnacentral:rRNA from 1 species
UACGGAGGGAGCUAGCGUUGUUCGGAAUUACUGGGCGUAAAGGGCUCGUAGGCGGCCAACUAAGUCAGACGUGAAAUCCCUCGGCUUAACCGGGGAACUGCGUCUGAUACUGGAUGGCUUGAGGUUGGGAGAGGGAUGCGGAAUUCCAGGUGUAGCGGUGAAAUGCGUAGAUAUCUGGAGGAACACCGGUGGCGAAGGCGGCAUCCUGGACCAAUUCUGACGCUGAGUGAGCGAAAGCCAGGGGAGCAAACGGG